rnacentral:rRNA from 1 species
UACGGAGGGUGCAAGCGUUGUCCGGAUUUAUUGGGUUUAAAGGGUGCGUAGGCGGCCCGUUAAGUCAGCGGUGAAAUCCCGGGGCUCAACCCCGGAACUGCCGUUGAUACUGGCGGGCUUGAGUUCGGUGAAGGCGGGCGGAACUGGCGGUGUAGCGGUGAAAUGCUUAGAUACCCUCAAGAACACCGAUUGCGUAGGCAGCUAACUAGGCCAUAACUGACGCUGAGGCACGAAAGCGUGGGGAGCGAACAGG